UGUAAUUUAAGAUUUUGCUCAGCAAAAAAAGAAAACAGCGACAAAUUUAUACGAAAGGAACCUCUAUCAAUUGCAAACAGAACGAUUUUAUUAUUACUAUUAUGAAGUUAUUUAAAAAUGGAUAUUUGAAUAGUCUUUCACUUUCAUUGAUAUACAUGGAAGACUAUUAUGUUACGAGUACUAAUACAAGUAGUAUUACUAGAGACUAGAGUAUGGUAUUUUUCAAGAAGGGUAUAUUAAGGUUUUUUCAGGAUCGGCAACGCGUACAUGAGUGUUGCAAGCGUCCAUAGGUUACAGUGACCAUUUAACCAUCAGACGGAUGUAUGCUUGUUUGUCACCUUCGUGAUAUAAAAAAAAGUCAUACAUAAAAUUCUGAUAGCAUAAAACAAUUUGUAAUUAUUAUCCACGUAGGUAAAGUUAUAGGCAUUCCCUAACUCAGAAUAAAAAAUAAUAUUAUUAUCAUGACUAUAGUUCCAAAUAGAAUGAUAAGAAAAAUCGUCAAUUUAUCAGCCUUGGGUUGAUAUUAUAUUGUUGAUAAUAUUUGAUUAGUUCAUGUAUGUAUAUUUACUUAUACACAUUUGGAUUCAAUAGUAGAACGAAUAUAUUUUAGUUUAGCUAAUAAAUAUAAAUGGCGACUUAGAAGCAAGUUUAACUUGAUCCCAAAUGUUUCAUUCCGAUUAGAACCGAAUUCACAAUAGACGAAUCUUCUUGAUAUUGCGGUGAUAAUAAAUCAGUGAAGGACGAACCGUAGUUGCUCUGAAAUUGAAAAGACAAUCAAUAUUGGAGGCGUUGUUGAAGCGGUAGGCGGUGGUAGCCGCCUGGGGCGGCCACGACCCACCAAUGGCGUGCUCAAUAUUUGUCGCACCUUACGGUCAACGACAUCCAUAUAUAAUUUUUAUAUUAUAUCUAUUGAGAAUGUUACAAUAACAAUGUAAAAACAUUCGUUUUAAUACUCACGUGUGUCUGCAGCAGUAGCAUGCUGGAAGAGUUGGACGAAAAAGCGCUUGGCGAGCGCGGCUCUAUGGCGCUCGGCCCUGCAACAACCAAACAUUUCACUUAAAAUGAAUUGAUCUAUUACGAUGAAUUUUUAUAGCGUAAAUAAAACAAUAUUUUUUUACACCGCGUUACGUAUUUCAAUUAUUGUAUCAGCAACAACAUUGGACAAUAACAACGGAGGGGUGGAUUGUAAAUGUGCUAGGAAACGGUUGGAUGUGAAAUUGACGGCGCCGUCUUUUGAACUAUCACGCUAUACUAGCCAAUGCCAUGCAUCAUUUAUAUUUACCCUCGGCGAACAUACUUUGAUUCUUCGUUCACCGAGCACUCGUAACUGAUUAAUCGAUAAAACUAUCGCGAUUUGAGCCUACUGACCGGCUGUCGAUCACUAUCCAACUGAGUAUUACGAGUGAGGAGCAAGAAGAAAGGUCUUCUAAUUUAUACUGCAGUUUUGCCAACCGAAUAUUGGCGUUUUUAAUACAUUGUGUCACGGUGCUUGAUUCGCCACGCCCCGAAAAUUGAAUCCUAUGUAUACACCUAGUCUAUCUUUGACAAUGAAAUGUGACAAACACCUAACUCUUUUCAUUGAAUAUUAGUUUUUAAUCCAAACCGAGUAAGUAUAGAUUCGCCUGGCGAUAAUACUUGAAAAUUUUUGGGGCGAAAAGGCGAUGGUUCCCUUGGGAGGUUAUGAAAUCAGUGGCAUUUGCAGUUUCUAUUAUGUUAAGAACCAUUAAUUCCAGUCUUAAUAAGCUAUAGACAAAACAGUAAAGCUUUGUUGUUAGUAAUUUUUUAUUGAAAAAAUAUAAAGGUAAAUGUAAUAUUUUUAUAUGUACCUAGCCAGGUAGAUACAUAAUAUAAAAUACCUUGAAUUGAAUAAGAUAUAAUAAGAAAAAAUAUGAGCGUAAUUUUUAGAAGAGGCAUUACUGUAGUUGGUGUUUAAAAUCCCAACAAGACAUUACAAUAAGACCUCCUGAUUAGAUCAAUAUAUUAUACAUAGGAUAUUUAGUUUAUGUAAUUUAUAUAAUCCAAAACAUUAUAUAAUU